GAGAGAGAUCCACCAGAGAGAGAUGCACCAGAGAUGCACCAGAGAUCCACUAGAGAUCCAGAUGACGCUAAAAUCACCAAAGAGAGUUUAAUUUGAACAGUAUUCAUAAAUUUAAAAUUCAGCCUUUGUCGGCACUUGCAAAGCUCAUGUAACCUGCACAAAACCAAUUUACCAUUUCCGUGUUGCUGAGUUAUUUCAAUCCCUACAGUUGCCUGCCAGGGGAAGACACAGGGCACUCAGAGACAAGGCUGGUUUAGAGCAGGGCUUUCAUUAGAUACACACUGGGGAACCAGGGACUUCCUUUGAAAUUCUGCCUUUUCUUUUUCACCCUUUUAAAUGUUGUUCUUGAUACAUAUUUGUACAUUUAUGGAGUACAGUAUGAAAACUUGAUAUAUGUAUCUGAUGUAAAGUGAUUAAAUCAAGAUAAUUAUCUCUUCUAUCUCUGUGAACACCCGCCAUUUCUACUUAUUGGGAAACUUUUGAAACACAUGCUAACUUGUCACCCUCCUGUGCCCUGGAGCACCAGAACUGCUGUUUCCUCUCGAAUGGGUGUUGGGGCCUGUUGUCGGACCUCUGCAGUCCCUCCCCGACACUUCCCAGAUCCUAGUGACCACUCUUCUCUCUACCAUCUUUUAACUUCCGCAAAUGAGUGAGGGCAAGAGAUGUCUGUCAGUGCCCGGCUUACUCCCUUAACACAAGGUCCUCCAGUUCCAUCUAUGUUGCCACAAAUGACAGGGUUUCAUUCUUUUCAAGGCUCAAUGACUUUUCCUUAUUAUGUACCUCACUGGCUUUAUCCAUUCAUCCAUCUGUGGACACCUCGAUCGACCCUGUAUCUUGGCUAUUGUGAAUAGUUCUACAAGAAGCCUGGGAUUUCUCUUUGAUAUACUGAUUUCAUUUCCUUUGGAUCUAUACCCAGUGGUGGGAUAGAUGGAUCAUAUGAUUGUUCUAUUUUUAAGUUUGGGAGGAAGUUCCAUACUGUCUUCAGGUUGGCUGCAGUGAUUUCUAUUUCCACCAACAGUGUAGCAAUUCCCCUUUCUCUGCAUUGUUGCCAACAUUUGUUAAUUUGUAUCUUUAUGACAAUAGCCAUUCUAACUGUGGUGAAUGGCUUUUCAUCAUGGUUGUGAUUUGCAGUAGAUGAUUAGUGAUGUCAAGCAUUUGUUCAUAUAUUCAUCAGCCAUUUGAAUGUCUUCUUUUGAAGAAGUAGCUGUUUGGAUCAAUUGCCCAGGGUUAAAUUGGGCGUUUUCCCAUUGAGUUGUCUGAGCUCAUUCUGUGUUGAGGUUUGGAGCUGGACCGUCCCCCAGUGUGUUGAGGCAUCAGUGUUCCAAAGCGGGGCUUUCAGGAAGUUAUUGAAUCACAAGGGUGCUGACCUCAUCAGUGGAUUAAUCCACUGAUGGAUUCAUAAUUUGGUGGCAUUAAUGGGAGGUGGUAGCCAGACACACAGACACACGGAUCAAGAUUUCCUUUUUCCCACCUGGUGCUUCCACAAGGCACUAUAUGCUCUUAGGUGGGACAAACAACUUCUUGCUUGAGAGUCUUGAAAUAGGAAGGACCCCACAGGAGGCUUGAGAGGCCCCGGUGACCCAGGCUGUCACUUAAGUUCUAUUCAUUCACGCUAUUCCACCUUCAGGUCACGUAGCUCUGGAACUCUUGUGCAUGGAUGUUCUGCUUAUAAAUAAGCCUGUGCUCUGAAAUUUCUCUCUGAAAAUACUGCCCUGGUUGUUUCUCAGAUCUUUUUGUGCCAAUCAAUCACACUUAGGCCUAAGUAAUUUGCAGUAGUUUGAGGUUUUCCUCCAUAUCUGUCAUUGAAAUGGAACUCCCAUAAACAGCAAUAGAUUUCAAUUCAUGUCUCCUUGAGCAAUCAUUUAGAUUAGGAGUUGUCACUUACUUUAGUGCAUUUUCUGUACAAAACCCCACGAAGCUAGAGACUUUAUAAAGAAAAGAUGUUUAUUUAGUUUUGAGGCUGAAACUCCCAGAUUAAGUAGCUUCUUCUCUGGUGAGGGGUCCCCCUGACUGAGUCACAGCAUGGUUGAUGGUGAGACUGUGUGCAAGGAGGAGAGAUCACAUGAUAAGGCAGGAAGCCAGAGAGCAGAGAAGGGUGUCCUGCUUUUUUACAACCACCCACUCUCAUGGGAACUGCUCACUCUGCUGGACCAACAUGAAUCUUUUCCACAGACAGAAACACAGUGACCUACACUCACCAGUGUCCCCGCACACAGACCCUGGAGGACCUACCACGUCCAAACCACAGCAGGGCAUUUUCUGGAAGGGACACAUAGUAAAUACCUUAGGCUCUGCAGGCCAAGUGGUUUCUGCUGCAAAAGCUCAGCAGUCACAGCUGCAUGUGGACUAGCAAGUGGCCGUCUCCCCAGGGCCUUUGUAUAGAAGCAGACAUCUGGCAGGACUUGCCAGGCCGGGGCUUGCUGAGCCCAGCCCAAUGGCUCUCCAGUCCACCUACUUUAUUUUA
rnacentral:lncRNA from 1 species